rnacentral:tRNA from 1 species
GGAGAUAUAACUCAGUUGGUAGAGUGCUUGCCUUGCACGCAAAAGGCCUGGAUUCAAUCCCCAACACCACCC